rnacentral:snRNA from 1 species
GGAUGUGAGGUCAAUCUGGCUGCAACAUCUGCCACUCCACUGAUUGCCAGGGUGGAUCUGGUUGAUCGGGCUGGCUAGGCGGGUGACCCCUUCUUUCCUUAUCACCCAUGGGCAUCCCUUCCAAAGCGAUGCACGCAGUGGAAGAAGAGGAAGAGGACAGCCUUCCCCGAAUAGAGGAGGACCAGUCUUUGGUCAAGGGUCUAAGAGUGGCUGUGCUGCCCUGCUAGAACCUCCAAACAAACUCUCCAAAAAGGAUAUGGUGAGGAAGCUGGCACAGAAGUGCUGGCAUUGUGCAAAGGUGU